rnacentral:rRNA from 1 species
GACGAACGCUGGCGGCGUGCUUAACACAUGCAAGUCGAACGGUGAAGCCCUUCGGGGUGGAUCAGUGGCGAACGGGUGAGUAACACGUGAGCAACCUGCCCCUGGCUCUGGGACAACCACUGGAAACGGUGGCUAAUACCGGAUACGACCCGCCUCGGCAUCGAGUGUGGGUGGAAAGUUUUUCGGCUGGGGAUGGGCUCGCGGCCUAUCAGCUUGAUGGUGAGGUGAAGGCUCACCAAGGCGACGACGGGUAGCCGGCCUGAGAGGGCGACCGGCCACACUGGGACUGAGACACGGCCCAGACUCCUACGGGAGGCAGCAGUGGGGAAUAUUGCACAAUGGGCGAAAGCCUGAUGCAGCGACGCCGCGUGAGGGAUGACGGCCUUCGGGUUGUAAACCUCUUUCAGCUCCGAAGAAGCGAAAGUGACGGUAGGAGCAGAAGAAGCACCGGCUAACUACGUG